GUGGCAACAGGCGUGCCUGAGAUUUGCCAGAGGGGCCAUUGCCUGCAAAAUGCCCCCUCUCACAUGCAAAAUAUCCCCAGAUCCCAGCCCUCCAAGACAAGGCACUCCCUCUUCCCAAAAGCUCUGGAUACCAGCUGGCUUCAGCUCCGGGACUGGGCACUGCUGAGCCAGACGGAGCUGGGGCACGUGGGUGCAAGUUAGCAAAUGGCUCCUUUAUCUCUGGGCUCUGCUCCUGCUCCUCUUUGCAUUAAAGGAAGAUCUUGAGGAUCCCUCCUGCCUCCCAGCACUGCAAUUUUUUGACCAGCUCCACCAUGUGAGUCCAUGCAGAAAAACUGGAGUUGAAGGAGCACGAGCUCACACUUCAGGCAUUUGAUAGAGGACCUUUUCAGUUUCUGAAAGACGUUUCUUUGCAUACUUCCAGUUUUUUAUUUAUUUGUUUAUUUAUUUUCUAAAUCACGGUUAACUUGCAAAUGGUUUCAAAGUCUCAGAUCCCUGAGUCCCACUGGAACUGGUGUUGCCACUGCACUCUUACACUUCCAAGAAAAACAUGUAUUACCUUGGUAUAAUUUCAGGUAGUCAGACUGAAAACAGCCUGUGUCUCUUUGCAGGAACAGUUACGCUUCUUACAGCACGUACUUGACAAGAAUCAGCUUAGGGAAGUCCAAGCAGUAGCAGCACAAAAGAAAAAAACAUCUAAAACAUGAUAAAGAUCAACAGGAAGAUGUGUAUGUAAGCUGCCAUGAAGCGCACUCACUGCCGUUCUCCAGCCAGGAAGCUACACAAACAACAUGAUGGAAGAACCAUUAAGCGUGGCAACUGAGCCAAAAGCAAUCCAGUCUCGUGGGGCCCUUCUGUGUGCUAACAGCCCUCUUUCCCCAGCGAAGGAAUGCACAAACACGGAGGGGGCAGGUACUUUGGAAAUGCUGCACCCAGAGAAUACCCGGAAAUGCCAAGUGAAACACUGCUGUGCUUCUGACGUAUGCUGCACGAAGCCCUUCGUUUCUGGAGACAUUUCCGAACAAAGCACAGCAGCCCGUCUAAUCAUAACUGUUUAUUGUAAAUCACUCAAGAGUUUACACAACAUUAAUGGCAAAGUAACACUGUUAAAACACCUGCUGGAUGAAAUACAGAAUAAAGACAACUCUUUAAUAUUAUAUGGCAUCAUCUGGAAAACAAGAAACAAGAAAAAAAGAAUUGAUUUUAAAUUGCGUGGCUUUGUUUUUUAAUUCUACAUCUUUCCUGAAAAUAUCAGGGCCCGAGUCUCACUUAGCUCAAGAUCACUGCCUUGCCCGGGGCGUGCGGCUGAGUGGCCCCGAAGUGAGCACUCCCUCUGCGAGGGACAAGGCGGUGACCUGCUUUAUAAAUGAAAAUCAUGCCCUCUAUCUUCGAAAGUGCUCCAGUGCUGACAGUACAAAGCCUCUCUCCUGCACUGGCUAACAUCUAACACAAAGGGCUCUACGUCCCAUUCCACAUGCUUUUUUUUUUUUUUCUUUUUUUUUUUUUUUGCUUUUUUUUCCUUUUUAAUCAAGGCAACUGUUAAAUGUUAAAUUCAGAAGCUACAUAACUGUCUUUAUAUUUUGCUCAGAAACCAAUGGAUGUUGCAUGCAGCUGAAACAUUAGUAGAGACUGACUUCGAUCAAGGUCGGUUUUCAAAGACCUGCUAGUCAAAGGCAGAAAAAGAAAUUAAGAGGCCUCUUGUGCAAAAGUAGCUAAAAUAUGCAUGCAUCAAUGGCCAUGACUGAUUAGAAUAUAACUCAGGUCUCCGAACAUCAAAACCAAAGCUUUAUUUGGCUUAAGACAUUGUUGAGCUCUGUACCGUUACAAAUUACAAUGUAUAUGC